rnacentral:rRNA from 1 species
CCCGGUGGCGUUGCCGGAGGGGCCACACCCGUUCCCAUCCCGAACACGGAAGUUAAGCCCUCCUGGGCCGAUGGUACUGCGUGGGCGACUGCGUGGGAGAGUAGGUCGCUGCCGGGU